GACGAACGCUGGCGGCGUGCUUAACACAUGCAAGUCGAGCGGUAAGGCCCUUUCGGGGGUACACGAGCGGCGAACGGGUGAGUAACACGUGGGUGACCUGCCCUCAGCUCUGGGAUAAGCCUGGGAAACCGGGUCUAAUACUGGAUAUGACUCCAUGACGCAUGUUGUGGGGUGGAAAGCCUUGUGCGGCCGAGGAUGGGCCCGCGGCCUAUCAGCUUGUUGGUGGGGUGANGGCCUACCAAGGCGACGACGGGUAGCCGGCCUGAGAGGGCGACCGGCCACACUGGGACUGAGACACGGCCCAGACUCCUACGGGAGGCAGCAGUGGGGAAUCUUGCGCAAUGGGCGAAAGCCUGACGCAGCGACGCCGCGUGAGGGAUGACGGCCUGG
rnacentral:rRNA from 1 species